GUGGCUAAACAAACACAUCCACGGGCUGGCGGCAGAAACUCUGGAGAGCUGGGUCAACAUUUUCAAACUUAGCCAACUUUUCCCCGUUGGUUUCUGAUAAAUCCUAGCAGAUAUGAAGGGUGUGUGGAGCUGUGCGUAAAGCUGGCUGGCAAACAACUCCUAAUCAUCUCCACUAGAGGGAGGGCUAACGCACAACAAGUCCACCAUGGAGCUGCAUCAGACCUACCUUUUCAUUUUUUAUUUUAUUUCUGGUGUAAUUCAUAAACUGGAUGAAUGACAGCCAUGACGGUGCCAACGUCCAGGCACACAAUGGAGACCUGACUGCAUUUUCCUCUGAAUGCAAAAACCUAUCCAUUAUAAACGUGUAAUUAUUGCCUUUAAUAGAUUAAUUCAUGCUGAAAGAUAGAAAUGGGUUCCAGGCUAUUGAUGUAAUUAUUUCACCAAAGAAAUUAAGUGACAUUAAAAGAAUGAUAUUGUCACCGCCAAAGUAUCAUUGAUUCGUUUCGAAUGCAAUUAACUGUAUUUGAAAAUGGGACCUGCACACUGAGCUGUGCAAGGAGCACCGAGGAUCACUUCAUUUGUGAGAGAUAUAAAGACCAAAUUAUCCCAUCACAGGGAAAAUCUAUAAAUGUAAUGGCACAGGGCUUCAGCGCUAAGGGGUGACAACAGCUAUCCUGUUCAGUUCUCUGUGUGUUAACCAGAACCUGUCAGCGACAUGCAGCAACAACAGUUUACCUGCUCACUUGGUUAAUUAUGAGGAAUUCUGCUUCUGAAGUUUGACUUAAAAGAAAAUAAAAUCUCUGAGAAACCAUCA